rnacentral:rRNA from 1 species
GCCGCGAGGCGACGGCGUUCUCGCCGGAUGUAGGAACCGACCCGGGGACCGCCGGGGCAACCCGGCGCCCCCGAGACGGGGCGAACCACGGUGAAAAUGACGGAUCGUCGGCCCCGCGCCGGCGACUCGCCGAAUGAGUUUCUGACCUAUCAACUCGAGACGGCGGGGUAGAGGCCCGCCGCGGUAACGACGGGUAACGGGGAAUCAGGGUUCGAUUCCGGAGAGGGAGCCCCGAGAAACGGCUACCACUUCCAAGGAAGGCAGCAGGCGCGCAACUUACCCUAAUCUCGAUUCGAGGAGGUAGUGACAAGAAAUACCGAUGCGGGACCCUACGGGUGCCGCGUUCGGAAUGAGUACGAUUCGAACCACCUAACGAGGAACGAUCGGAGGGCAAGUCUGGUGCCAGCAGCCGCGGUAAUUCCAGCUCCAAUAGCGUAC